GCCCCAUUAGCUCAGUGGUAGAGCACUCGCCUUGUAAGCGAAAGGUCGUCCGUUCGAUCCGGACAUGGGGCU
rnacentral:tRNA from 2 species